GGCUGUAUCUUGUCUUAAGCGCAGAUAAUCUCUUUUAUUUCUCUCCUCAGAUACAGAGGACAAUUCUCACACAGAAUCCAUUAGCAGGUGAUAUGUCAUUGAUAUGUCAAAACAGGAAUGGGAGAUAAAAGCAGCUACAAAUGAUAAGUUUAUCAAGCACUACAUUGUGUUCAUUUGCAGGGCAUCAAAAAGUGGUGCUGCUGAUUCCUGGCCUUCAUCAGAUGAUGACGAUGAUGAUGAUGAUGAGUUAGAUUUGAGCCCAAAGAAAGUAAACUUGAAGAAACUCAUAAGCACCACAAAAAGGGAAAAAGUAGAAGGUGGGCAGAGUGAGUUAAAAGAGCUGCCUUCUGGCAGUAAACUAGAUGUGGAAGGCAAUGAAAGUCCAGAGGAUGAAUCUGAAGAAGGUGAAGAUGAUGAAGGUGAGGAUGACGAUGAUGGUGAAGAAGAAGAAGAAGAAGACGAGGAGGAGGGAGAAGAAGAUGAGGAUGAUGAUGAUGAUGAAAACGAUGAAAAUGAAGAUGAUGAUGAAGAGGGAGAUGAACAAGAAGAAACUGCUGUGGCUUGCGAGACAACAGGCCUUCCUGGGUUGCCCAAAACCGUGGCUCUUGGUACAACAG
rnacentral:lncRNA from 1 species